rnacentral:rRNA from 1 species
AUGAACGCUGGCGGCGUGCCUAAUACAUGCCAGUCGAGCGAACAGACGAGGAGCUUGCUCCUCUGACGUUAGCGGCGGACGGGUGAGUAACACGUGGAUAACCUACCUAUAAGACUGGGAUAACUUCGGGAAACCGGAGCUAAUACCGGAUAAUAUAUUGAACCGCCUGGUUCAAUAGUGAAAGACGGUUUUGCUGUCACUUAUAGAUGGAUCCGCGCCGCAUUAGCUAGUUGGUAAGGUAACGGCUUACCAAGGCAACGAUGCGUAGCCGACCUGAGAGGGUGAUCGGCCACACUGGAACUGAGACACGGUCCAGACUCCUACGGGAGGCAGCAGUAGGGAAUCUUCCGCAAUGGGCGAAAGCUUGACGGAGCAACGCCGCGUGAGUGAUGAAGGUCUUCGGAUCGUAAAACUCUGUUAUUAGGGAAGAACAAAUGUGUAAGUAACUAUGCACGUCUUGACGGUACCUAAUCAGAAAGCCACGGCUAACUACGUG